rnacentral:rRNA from 1 species
ACUCCUACGGGAGGCAGCAGUGGGGAAUAUUGCACAAUGGGCGCAAGCCUGAUGCAGCCAUGCCGCGUGUAUGAAGAAGGCCUUCGGGUUGUAAAGUACUUUCAGCAGUGAGGAAGGCGGAGUCGUUAAUAGCGGCCUCGUUUGACGUUAGCUGCAGAAGAAGCACCGGCUAACUCCGUGCCAGCAGCCGCGGUAAUACGGAGGGUGCGAGCGUUAAUCGGAAUUACUGGGCGUAAAGCGCAUGCAGGUGGUUUGUUAAGUCAGAUGUGAAAGCCCGGGGCUCAACCUCGGAAUUGCAUUUGAAACUGGCAGACUAGAGUACUGUAGAGGGGGGUAGAAUUUCAGGUGUAGCGGUGAAAUGCGUAGAGAUCUGAAGGAAUACCAGUGGCGAAGGCGGCCCCCUGGACAAAGACUGACGCUCAGAUGCGAAAGCGUGGGGAGCAAACAGGAUU